ensembl:snoRNA
CUUUUCCCUAGAAGCAUUGCAGGUGUGACUGCUGUGUCCCAUGUGUGUCUUUAAGUGACAGAGAGGAGAGAGGCUAUGUCUAUGCUCAGUAUUCUGCCCUCUGAACAUUGGAAUGAUUAGUAGCCCAAGAUU